UACGGAGGGUGCAAGCGUUAUCCGGAUUCACUGGGUUUAAAGGGUGCGUAGGCGGGCAGGUAAGUCAGUGGUGAAAUCUCCGGGCUUAACCCGGAACUGCCGUUGAUACUAUCUGUCUUGAAUAUCGUGGAGGUAAGCGGAAUAUGUCAUGUAGCGGUGAAAUGCUUAGAUAUGACAUAGAACACCCAUUGCGAAGGCAGCUUACUACACGAUCAUUGACGCUGAGGCACGAAAAGCGUGGGGGAGCAAACAGG
rnacentral:rRNA from 1 species